CUACGGGUUGCAGCAGGGAGGAAUAGGGAAAAAGGGGGGGAACCCUGAUGCAGCAACGAAGAGUGGCGUAUGACGCAUUUCGGUGUGUAAACUCCUUUUAUAUGUCAAGAAAAUGACGGUAGCAUAUGAAUAAGCACCGGCUAACUCCGUGCCAGCAGCCGCGGUAAUACGGAGGGUGCAAGCGUUACUCGGAAUCACUGGGCGUAAAGGACGCGUAGGCGGGUUGGAAAGUCAGGUGUGAAAUCCUACAGCUUAACUGUAGAACUGCACUUGAAACUUCUAAUCUAGAGUAUGGGAGGGGGAGAUGGAAUUAGUGGUGUAGGGGUAACAUCCGUAGAUAUCAAUAGGAAUACCGAAAGCGAAGGCGAUCUCCUGGAACAUUACUGACGCUAAGGCGUGAAAGCGUGGGGAGCAAACAGGAUUAGAUACCCUAGUAGUC
rnacentral:rRNA from 1 species